GCUAAAUAGGACUGUCAGCCUGCAGUAAAAUGGAGAGAAAGAGACCAAUUUGGGCGGCUGAUUGUAAAGACUCGCAGUUCUUCAAAAGUGCUCGCCAAACGUCAGAAGAAAACUGGUCAGUCGCAGUUACCAAAUAUUUCUGCAGAACAUGUUGCAGACAGCACAGAAGGCACAUUCACCUCUGAGGUGCAACAGACCCACAAUAUGAUUGACCUUCAUAUACAGGAACUGCAAAAGAUGCUUGAUGCAGUUGAGGAGGAUGUUGCCGGAUGUUCAAAUUCCACAGAAGCCUCAUCUGGUCGAACAUGGACAGUACGUCAGGCUUUAUCUGAUGAAAGAUGGCGGAAAGCAAGACCUCAGCUUCUUGAAGCCAUGCUUGAGGCAGGAAAGAUCCCGAAGGGUCUUUGUCAACUGUGCAAAGCUAAAGAUGCAGUCAU